CUCCUCCUCCUCCUCCCGGGAUGCUGGCACAGAGUUGUGAUCGAGCCCCAAGUGGAUUGCAGCGCAUAAUGGAACCCGGGUUUAAUGUGACCGGGACGGGGGGUGGGCAGCUAUGCGGGUCAGGGAGUGGGAGAAUUUAAGAACAGGAAGCCCACCCCCACCCUAGAUUUUCCCAAAUCACUAAGGAUUUUAGUAGGAUUCAGAACCCAAGCUUCCAAGACACUCGCUGUGCUAAAAAUAAUCUUCAUAACUUCUAAAACACUGACUCAUGGGCAGGAGGACACUUUGACAGCAUGUUAUUGUUGGGGAGCUGUAAUUUUGUUGUUGUGCUAUAGCAAUGUGACAUGAUGGCAUUUCAUGUUGUGAUGUUGUCGUCAUUUAAACACAAACAGAUGACAGGAAUCUGCUGUACUUAAAAAAAAACCCAAUCCUAACAAGCGCUGCAGCUAUUAGCUACUCAGUCUAUAGACAAAGUACAUAUGGGGCAUGAGCCCAAAUGGAGACAAGUAAAAAUUUGCAAGGCUCUUUGGUUUCAUUAGAAAAAGUUUUUUUUUUAGAUAUAAUUUUGCAUAAAAGGAUCACAGGAAAGUAUUAGGACAAGUCUAAGGGGAUUUUUUUUAUUUGUGCCCUUCUGUUUUAAAAUUUUUUUUACAAUGAGUCUAUUAUUUUCACAUCAGAAGAGUUUUAUAAACUGCAAGAUUGGCAGUUCCAUUUUUUUGGCCUCAGGCUGGAGUACAGUGGUGUGAUCCUAACUCAAGCAACCCUCCUGCCUUGGCCCCCCAAAGUGUUGGGAUUACAGGCAUGAGCCACCAUGCCUAGCUCCACAUCAGGUAUUUCUAAUGAGAAUUGAACCUACAAAUUGAAAUGUAAGUAUAAAAUAUACAGCAGAUUUCAAAGACAGUGGGAAAAAAUGUACAAUAUCUCUAUUGAUACUUUAAAAAUAUUGAUCACAUGUUGAAAUGGUAGUACUUUAGAUAUGUUGGGUUUAUUUUUAAUUUUUCAAAAUGUGGCUAAUAGAAAAUUUAAAGUUAUAUAUGUAGCUUACAUAAUAUUUCUAUUUGCUGUAGGAUUCAGUGGCUUACCCAGCACUUCAGAAGACAUUUGAAAAUCAGUCAUGUUCCUCAACCAAGUGAUGCCUUUUAGCGGUGCAAAUUCUGUGCUUAGGAAACUUGCUGCUUGCCCUAAUCUUUUCUUUUUUUGUUUUAAAAUGUGUCAUGUGGCAUUUAAUUGUCCUCAUCUUAUCAAGGGUUCAGUGCACCCUAAUGAGACUUGAAUGCAUCACAAAAUGAUUGUUUCAGAAAGAUUGCUUCAACAACAGAAGAUGGAGAUGGGAAGAGAAUGGUGGGGGAUGUGGUAGCAAAGAAGCUAUUCCAAUGAUCCAACCUCAAGAUCAUGCAAAUGUGAACUAAAGCAAUGGCAUCAGGAUGGAGCAGAGAAGAUGGACUGGAGAGAGUUUUAGGAGGUAGAAGUGAUAGAACUCUGGUGGUGACUGGCUGUAGGGAAAGAGGUCAAUCAUCCAUCCUCCUCAGAAUAGUUGGCAGGUCACCGUGUACUUUAAGAUAGGAAAUACAAGAGAAAGAUCAGAUUGGCCACUGAGGGAUGGGGGUUGGGGAGAAAAGGAGAAAAAGUACUUAGUUUCAGACAUAUUACAUUUGAAAAACCAUAGCAUCUAGACAGACAUUCUGAAGACAGAAAAAGAUUCUGCUCUGGGACUUCAGGAUGAGGUUUUAUCUGAAGGUAUAGUACUGAGAAGCCAUCAGCCUGUAAAUGGUGGCUGCUCCAUGGGAGUAGAUGAAGAUAUUGGUGUCAUGGGCUAUCAGGAAGGACAGGGUGUUUAGCUAUGUUGGCUGUUGUGGAAAAGUCGAAUAAGACAAGGACUGAGAAAUAUCUUUUUGAUCUGGCAAUCAUGUCACCCAAAAGAGAAGGAAUAACUUUGAAACUAUUUUUACAGAUGGAGGAAGGUAGCCUGGGCCCAACUGAACUCACUGUGUAUUCAGAAAAUAACCCACAGUUGGGAAAUUCACAGUGCCAUUGCUUUGAAUCAAAUCCUUACUUCAUACCAGGAUGUACCAUGAUUCUUGGCAACAUGACUGGGUAUUGAUGUCUUGUCUAGCCAAUGAAAUCCACAUAGCAAAGAUGUUAUGAAGACAUGGAAACAUGAAUAUGAAAUAAAAUCAGUAUAGCUAUUUGGAUGAUUAGCUAUCGACACAAGACAGUCCCUGGUAAUUGCCUUUAAUAGUAAGGUAGCACUAGGCCAUGAAAGGUGCUUCAGUGUACCUGCCUCAUUUGUGGCUCCCUUUUGGCCAUGUGACCCUAACUCCCCUGGUCACAAGUGGCUGAACCAGCAAUCAAUACCUGACCUGAAGGCAACCCUCUAUAGGCUGGCAAGUGGCCUACAAAGUUGCUCAGUGCUAGAGAACUGAGCCCAACAGAAGUACAUUCUAAUGUUUAGUGAUUGGCCAAUCGUAUUCUUUGUGAUGGUGCUGAUGGGAAGGUAGUGAUGUGCAUCAGACAUGCAGAGUUAGUAGCAGCUGGAGCAGACACAGAAGCCUCCCUAACAAUGGGCAAUGGAGAAAGGAACAACAGACAGUUCUGAAAGAAUACCAAGUGCUCCUAAGCCAAAAGCUAUAGUUAGGCUGCUGGAGGUACUGCCAGUCCUAAAUGAUGGCAAUGAUGGUCCAUUUUUCUGUGAAACUUGACUGUAUACCUGUUAAGAUUUUUUUGUGUUCUUUUUAAGGCUCCAUGAAUGAAUCUUUCCAAUAAACAAGUUUGUAACAAAGGCAACCUGAACAUUUCUGAUACUUGAAACUUGAAAAUAUCUAAUACAAUUUUACAUCACUUUCAAAUCAUGAGUGAAGAAGUUAAUGUGUUAUUGAAUUAGAUUCCCUAUACAUAUGUCAGUUACUUAUUCAAUCAAUAAUAUGUACUGAUAACCUACUAUGUGCCAGACAUGUACUAGCAUUAGGAAUUUAGUAGUGAACAAGAUUGACAUGACUCCAGCCUAGAUUGUGCUAUGGUCUAGCCUGGAGUAUUUAGACUCCUUGGGUCUUAAUACAUACGGAGAAACCUGAAUGUAUGUCAGAAGCAUGUGAUCUACAUUUGUUUGCUUUCGUUUUAAAUAUUCAUGGUUUCCGAAUAUAUUACAUGAAUAAGGAUGUAACAUUAAAACCCAUGUGUUAACAUUUUAAUCUAAGGAUAUUUAUAUCAAAGUACAGCUUAGUUCAGAGCUUUCUAAAUUUUAGUACAUCUGAAACAAAGUGAACAACAGAAAGAAGGUUAACAAAACCAUAAACUGUUAAGUAGAACAUGGCCCCUAAGUAGAGCCAGAAGUAUAGUACUGUAACAAGAUGACACUUGCAGAAUCCAACAGAAGAAGAGAAUAAAAUGAUGACAUUUAUAUGCUAGCAUUUUGCAACAGUGGUAAUGUGCCACCUGUAAAUGAAGUGAAUCCUGGAAAUAAAAAGGCUGGCCAUUUUUCCUCAUCCUGAGUAAAAGAUAAACUGAAAAUUAAUGGCAUGGAUUGCUCAAGAUAACAGACUGAAAAUAAAGAUACAGGUGAUUCAUUAAACUAGAUGAAGAAAAAUGGAGAAGAUAGAAUCUGAUGCUUGGUGAAAUUGAAAUGUCAAGGAAUUGACAUUGAUGCAUUCUGUGAUGAUCCUGCUGGUAACUCAAUAGUCAGGCAAAGGAUUUUAAUGUUAUAUUUCUUAGACCAACUAAAAUUAAGAAUGAAUGUCUUUCCCAGUAGAGAUAAGAUGGCCCAGGGGGAGUGGAGAGUUGAGGGAACCCUGUUAAGUGCUUUAGAGUUUCUAGGGAUUUUUUUUUUUCCUAGUCAAUCUCUGCUUAUCCAUCUAGGACUCUUUAGUUAUUAUUUUAGUGGAGCAUUAAGAGACUAAAAAUGCUCUUAUAUUUUAUCAUUCAAACUUUUACAGGCUUUCUUUCCAAGAUACUCAAAUCCCUAAACACCUGAACUUCUAAUUGCUUUACAAGACUUAGUCUCAUUGGUUGCUAUAGUACUGCUGUGGAAAUUCUCUUCUUGUCUUCAACUAAAUAGGUUGCAGUUUAAAUAUCUGCAACUCUCUGGGAACACAAACAACAUUAGAAAUUAGAAAGAUAAUAUAACUGUGGCUACAGCAGGUAACUUUUAAUUAUCAGGUUUAUAUGUAAUUUUAUACAUUCAAAUUUGAAAACUAGAAUGAAUAGAUGGCCUUAAGGAAACUAUAAACUAUUAAACAGAACCAAGAAUAGGUAGAGAACCCAAAUAGAUUGAUCAUCAUCUAAGAAACUGAAAAGAUUUGGGAGGCUGAGGUGGGAGAGUAGCUUGAGCCCAGGGUUUCAAGACCAG
rnacentral:lncRNA from 1 species